CCUACGGGAGGCAGCAGUGAGGAAUAUUGGUCAAUGGGCGGGAGCCUGAACCAGCCAAGUCGCGUGAGGGAAGACGGUCCUAUGGAUUGUAAACCUCUUUAGGCGGGGAGCAAUGCCGGGCACGCGUGCCCGGAGGGAGAGUACCCGCAGAAUAAGCAUCGGCUAACUCAGUGCCAGCAGCCGCGGUAAUACGGAGGAUGCGAGCGUUAUCCGGAUUGAUUGGGUUUAAAGGGUGCGUAGGCGGAUUUUUAAGUCAGCGGUAAAAUGUCCGGGCUCAACCCGGGCCGGCCGUUGAAACUGGGGAUCUUGAGUGGGCGAGAAGUAUGCGGAAUGCGUGGUGUAGCGGUGAAAUGCAUAGAUAUCACGCAGAACUCCGAUUGCGAAGGCAGCAUACCGGCGCCCGACUGACGCUGUGGCACGAAAGCGUGGGGAUCGAACAGGAUUAGAUACCCGGGUAGUC
rnacentral:rRNA from 1 species